ensembl:lncRNA
UUCCUCUUCAUAGUCAUCCAACCACUCAUCCCCAGGCCUAUAGUACUGCAUGGGGUUACUGUGGCCAAAGUGCAGGACCCGACACUUGGCCUUGUUAAACCUCAUCCCAUUCACCUCAGCCCAGCGAUCCAGCUUAUCUAGAUCCCUCUGCAGGGCCUCCUUACCCUCAGGCAGAUGGUCACUACUUCCCAACUUGGUGUCAUCUGCAAAGUUACUCAGGGUACACUCAAUCCCUUCAUCUAGGUUAUCAAUAAAGAUAUUAAACAAGAUGGGCCCCAGCACCGACCCCUGGGGGACACCACUUCAAACGGGUCACCAGCUGGACUUAACUCCAUUGACCAGCACCCAUUGGGCACGGCCCUCCAGCCAGUUCCUUACCCAAUGGAAGGUAAAACUGUCCAGGCCACGGGCAGCCAGUUUUCCCAGAAGAAUACAGGAUAGACAGACAGAGGAAACAGUGACUACAUGGAGAAUACAGAGCUGGAAACCACCCUUCGCUUGCAAUGGCCUGGUGGAGGAGGACAGCAGUGAGAUCCAGCUUGGCUGCUGAGAGAGCACAGCUGGGGCUAUGGGAUAGGUGUGGGACUGUGUGGCAGGUGUCACAUGGGCACUGCCAGCUGCUGCUCUGAUGGCCCAAGGAGGUGGCCACACUUCGAUGAAGAAAGCAGAUGGUGAGCUCAGGGUGGCCACCACAGCCUUCCUGGGUUGCCUGGACUCACAGAAGCCCUGAUACAUUCCUCAGCUGUCCUAUCAUUUCAUCAAACCAAAUGUCCAAAAUGAUAUUCCAGGUGGUUUAUCACCUAAAGUUGAUGGCAAACGUAUUCAGCUACUGGGUUUCAAGGCUGUGCUAUCUGCAGCAAAAUCCACAUUGCAAAUUUUCUCUGAGUCUCUGUUUACCCCCAGGUUUGAUUAGCACUUGGACCAGCUGACGUUUCUGUCUCAUCUCCCAGUACCCAUCAUGAGCUACUGAGCAAUUUCCGAGAUACUGAGUAAAUUUGCAGCCACGCAGGUGAAGAUUUACAGGCAUGGGUGCUACGCAAGCUGGAAGAUUUGUGGUGUACUGCUCUGACAGGAGAGAACAACGCUAUGAUAAAGCACCGUCGUCUGGACAGUACGCGGGCCUGCAAAUAUUACUGGAGAUGUCAGCCUCCCAGCUGUGCACAUCCACAGUUACUCCUCAGCACUUGCCUACAACCUGGUAGGUUUUUCAACUCUGUUCGUUUGUAGUAGGAUGGAGGGUAUGAUGCAACUUGCUGGCAAAAGUUGGAACCCUUGAAGAAAUAGGGAAGAUGGAAGCUCCACUGCAGUGGGAAUAUAGCAGCACUAUCUGGGCAUGGGCACCAUAAUACCUGGGACAUAUAACAGGGUGAAAGAGCUGGAAAGGGCACUGAGGUUUGAUGCUGACAUCCUAUUGCAUUCACUGUACUGUCUGCAAACAGCCUCAGCACACAUGCUGCAGAAGACAACAGGAGGUAUCCCAGAUGUGCAAGGCCCUUCCCAGAGUAUUUCAGAAGUGAAAGCCACUGUCACUAUUCAUGUUUUUGCUCAGUGGAUGGCGCUGAAUGAAUUAAAGAGGCAGGAAGAGAUACCAAGGCCUCAUGUGACACCCAAGCAUACUCAGUUGAGGGAUCUGGCACCAAAAGCCAGACUGCAAAAUGGCUGGGAGUGAGCAGUACCUGUGUAAUGGGGAGCCAGGGGAGGAGCAGUGAGCUCUUCCCUGGCAGCUCUGCUUCCACAGGCUGCAGCAAUGUCAGUCUGAGGUGACAGAGGGUAUUUCAUCAGCAGGUACCCAAGUGGCUGUACAGCAGACAGCACUGACACAUUAAAACAUUUUCUUGAUAUAAAAAGAAAAAUGCCCAAGCAACAAUAUAGGUGUAAUUGUACUCAGAAUACACUUAAUUCUGCCAGCACUGGUCUCUCCAGAGGGCUGCCUCCAUUUUCCAAAAGGGGUCUAGCAGAGAAACAGCUGGUAUAAACAAUAAUCUGAAUAUGCUCAGCCAACUCAUUGCUGAGAAAUGCACAGCAAGGAUUACGAUCGACACAUUUUCUAGCCAGAAACCACGAAGAACUUCUCAACUCUACAGACUCUCUGGGCGUUGCUCACUACUGGGCACCUGGGACUGGAGCUAUUUAGCUACUUAUUUAUUUUACAGCUCUACAGAAUUGCUCUACAUUGCUUCACUUUUCCUUCUAUUUUCCUACAGAUGUUUCAAUGGAAAUUAUAGUAAUUAUCCACUGUGAAGAAAUUAAUUGGCAUUAACAAUUGUGCAAAAUGUAAUUGUUAUCAAUUUUGUGAGAUUUCGGUCAUCUUCAAUCGCCCACAUAGCUUGAACGGUCUGUAUGUUGUGGAAGGAUGGAUGGAUAGGCUGUCCUCAAAGGAUGGAUGUAAUGGAAUUGAUAUUCUCCUACCACACUGCGCACAGCUAGCCUACUUAAACAGCCUUUUCACAGACAUAUCAUUUUGGCAACUUUCUCCCUGAUCUACCAAUGCCUCCAGAGUCUUUUCCUCCUCUGUCAUUUCCAGCUGAUAAGAUCCCAAUUUAUAACAAAAGGUUUUGUUAUUAGUUAGCAAAUACCUGACCUUUCAUUUUGUACUGUUAAAUUUCUAUCCAUUUUGAUUACUGCAGUGCUCAAGGUCACCCACUUCCUCCUGUAGAUGAUAUGAAUAUUUCACAUUUGCCCAAUAUAUAACCUUUCUCUUUGGAAGUUCUCAUUAUCUUUGAAAAGUCUCUCUAGAUGGAAAGGCUCUGAAGUCUUACAUUCCUUAUUCAUUUUGUUGCCCUUUUCUCAACUUUUAUUAUUUCUGCUUUGUCCUUCAUCUUAUCUGCUGUAAUGUACCAUGGUGCAGCCCUCCAUUUUCCUUUGAUAUUAGGAGGAAUGCAUGGCAACAUUUGGUAAUUUUCUAUUAGCUAAGCACAAGCUAUAGGUGCCCUGCAGUACAAAUAGCUAAAUCAGCUGUAGGUAGGUAGCACAGGUACUUACUUUUUGUCUGGGCUGUUACACUCAGGAAACAGUGUUGUGUACGUAGAGUUCCAAACCAGGGCAGAUACAUACCUGCUGCAUAUAGCCAAAACACCAGCUUAUGUGUUGCAUUUGCCGGAGAUCUUGGAGCUACAUAUGAUGGCUGAAUUUCUUCCUGAAGUCUUAUAAAUUAAUCAGAGCCUAAACAUGCUGUAUGUAGAAC